rnacentral:rRNA from 1 species
UACGAAGGGGGCUAGCGUUGCUCGGAAUCACUGGGCGUAAAGGGUGCGUAGGCGGGGCUUUAAGUCAGGGGGGAAAUCCUGGAGCUCAACUCCAGAACUGCCUUUGAUACUGAGGAUCUUGAGUUCGGGAGAGGUGAGUGGAACUGCGAGUGUAGAGGUGAAAUCCGUAGAUAUUCGCAAGAACACCAGUGGCGAAGGCGGCUCACUGGCCCGAUACUGACGCUGAGGCACGAAAGCGUGGGGAGCAAACAGG